UUUAAUGAUGGAACACGUGUCAUGCAAGUGAGGUUAUGCUUGAUAAUAAUAGAAAUAGAUAAAUUAGUUGAUGAUGAAACCUCACCAUCUAAAACCAAAAAUCUCUUCCCCAUAGCCCAGUACAAUUAUAGACGAGCUCUUUGAGGAUGCCACCAUAGCUCUAAGCAAAUACUCACGUCACCACCUUCAUCCAACUUGGUGGACACUUUUCUUUAUCUUGGCCUUAUUCGUCGACGUUAAAACAGUAGCUGGAGUCUCUCAUCCUCUCGUAUCUUGCAUAAACUUGUCGGAGCUGCUCUGUUUUAUAAGUAAAUCACCAUCUGCAUCUCCUUCGAUCAUUUUCGUGUUCAUCGAUGGUGAACCCAUCCACCUUCAAUCUCGAAUGCUCGUCGGCGCUGCUCUUCUGUAUACAAUUGUAGCAAGAUGCAAUACAACCUAGUUUUGGAAUUCUUUGACAGUGACAAAGAAGAUGACACCGACGAAGAAGAUGACGCCAAUGAAGAAGCUUCAUGUCCAGCCGUGUUUAAGCGUUCGUUCUAUCGAAUACACACCGUAAAAAUGGGUUGAUUGAAGGUGGUGACCAUUUUUGGUUUUGGUUUCUAUCAAGAAGGUAAUAAAUAGGGUUUAUCUUUGGCACACGCUGUGAUGUGAGGAGUUCCGACGUCAGAGUGUGUAUGGCGUGGGGGUAUCCUAUGUGCGAAUAAAACGAUCAACUUAAACGCCCAAUUUUAAAGAACGAUGUUUUGGACUUUAUUUUUAAAAACUAUCAGUGGACUUAAACUUGAUUUAUUUUAAACGUUGCAUAAAUACUCACAUUUUUUUAAAACUAUUGGGCCCAACUUGCAUGUUUUAGCAAGGCCCCACUGGAUUUUCAUAUGUUAAGUGGCUUUUCUUCUAUAAUUAUAUGAGUAUGGAGAUGUUUUACAAAGUAGUAGUUUAGGGCAUUUUAUAUGAGGGGAGGAGAGUGCAGGAAAGAGAGAGAAAGAGAAGAAAAAGAAGAAGAGGGGAAGUAGGGUUUCGAAAUCCCUAUGGAGUGCCAAGAGGGUGAUCAUCAUCUUUCUAUUUCUUGAGUCUUGAUCUCUACAAAAGAGGUAAUAGAACCUCUAGCCCUUUUCUUUGUUUUAUUGUUGUUCCAAGUUCUUUGAAUAUGACUAUAGAAUAUUGUCUAUGUUGUUUUAGUUUUUGAUCUUUGUUUGUAGUUGUUUACCCAAAAAAUAUUCACUUGAUGACGUGGCAAGAUUAGUAUGCAUGUAAGAUGCGUGUGACUAUUUAAGUAGUUACGUUCUGGUUGACCAUCGACCAGAGGAGAAUUCGUAUGACAGAAGGCAUAUUUCUUAGGUGACCAGGGCUAGUCGCAGUAUAUCAUAUAUUUUCUAAAGAUAUUUGAUCUUUCAUUUAUGUAAAAAGUGUAAUUUCCAUUAUUAUUCAAAUAUGUUUUUAUCAAAUGUAAUCAAGGCCCAUCGGCCCAGAGGUAGAUCCUUGAGCCUAUAAAUAAGACUCAAAGACUUCAUGAAAGAGAUCUUUAGAAACUAAGAGAGAAAAUGAUUUUUCUUACACAAUUCUUUGUAUCUAUUACAGAGCUUGUGAAACUUGGUAAACCCUUGUUUACUGAUCGCAGGUUCUCAUUACAUUAAU